ACCCAGAUGGGGAAAGGUCACAGUAAAUAGAUGAGCCUGACUCCUGUCCUGUGUGUAGAGAAGGACUGCAGAGUCUCUCCAGCUUAUGCAAGUCUAUUCCCUGCGUGUGCUUGAGGAGAGAGAUGGAGGUUAUUGUCCAGCCAUGCAGUGGACCAUGUUUAGUGAAGGGCCUGAACCAGAAGAGAACCAGAUUGAUUGCUCUGAUUUUGUCCCACUGCAAUCUCAUGGGCGGAAAGCUGUUUGGACUCGCAUUCUGACGGCACCUAUUCACUGCAGAGGAUCCAUUGGUGAACAAGUGAUGUAAUGGUAAAUGUUCUGAUGAAGAAACAAACUCAUCUACAUCUUGGACUGCCUGAGGGUGAGUACAUUUUCAGCUGUUUCAUUUUGGGUGGAGAAUUCCUUAAAUAAAUUUGCACAAAUUUGACUGCA
ensembl:lncRNA